rnacentral:rRNA from 1 species
AUGACCUCGGAUCAGGUAGGGAUACCCGCUGAACUUAAGCAUAUCAAUAAGCGAGGGA